rnacentral:rRNA from 1 species
GUUGACCUCGGAUUAGGAGGA